rnacentral:rRNA from 1 species
GGGGGACUUAGUGACCCGGCUCGGGCCGGGAUGUUCACAACCCUUUGUUGUCCGACUCUGUUGCCUCCGGGGCGACCCUGCCUCCGGGCGGGGGCCCCGGGUGGACAUUUCAAACUCUUGCGUAACUUUGCAGUCUGAGUAAAUUUAAUUAAUAAAUUAAAACUUUCAACAACGGAUCUCUUGGUUCUGGCAUCGAUGAAGAACGCAGCGAAAUGCGAUAAGUAAUGUGAAUUGCAGAAUUCAGUGAAUCAUCGAAUCUUUGAACGCACAUUGCGCCCCCUGGUAUUCCGGGGGGCAUGCCUGUUCGAGCGUCAUUUCACCACUCAAGCCUCGCUUGGUAUUGGGCGACGCGGUCCGCCGCGCGCCUCAAAUCGACCGGCUGGGUCUUUCGUCCCCUCAGCGUUGUGGAAACUAUUCGCUAAAGGGUGCCGCGGGAGGCCACGCCGUAAAACAACCCCAUUUCUAAGGUUGACCUCGGAUCAGGUAGGGAUACCCGCUGAACUUAAGCAUAUCAAUAAGCGGAGGAA